rnacentral:lncRNA from 1 species
UUCAAUGUAGACCAUUGAUCUCAAUCUCCAGAUUUAAUCUCCACGCUUGGAUGUUAUGACUUUAUUUAAUUCUUUGUGUUUCUCAUUGACCUUGGAAUAUGGUGCGCGCGCAGCUUAUGACCAUCAGAUCCUCCACGUCAAUUAAUGAGGAUCCAUCCAACGCUUCCAGAUUUUUGCUAUUUUUUCAAUUUCUGAUUUUAUUUUCUUUAUUUCCUUUUAUUUCAAAAAUUUAUAACUCUCUCAUUU